AGCGAACGCUGGCGGCAGGCCUAACACAUGCAAGUCGAACGGACCCUUCGGGGUUAGUGGCGGACGGGUGAGUAACACGUGGGAACGUGCCUUUAGGUUCGGAAUAGCUCCUGGAAACGGGUGGUAAUGCCGAAUGUGCCCUUCGGGGGAAAGAUUUAUCGCCUUUAGAGCGGCCCGCGUCUGAUUAGCUAGUUGGUGAGGUAAUGGCGCACCAAGGCGACGAUCAGUAGCUGGUCUGAGAGGAUGACCAGCCACAUUGGGACUGAGACACGGCCCAAACUCCUACGGGAGGCAGCAGUGGGGAAUCUUGCGCAAUGGGCGAAAGCCUGACGCAGCCAUGCCGCGUGGAUGAUGAAGGUCUUAGGAUUGUAAAAUCCUUUCACCGGUGAAGAUAAUGACUGUAGCCGGAGAAGAAGCCCCGGCUAACUUCGUGCCAGCAGCCGCCGUAA
rnacentral:rRNA from 1 species